CUGGAAUGAUGAAAGUUAGCCAAAUCAUAGUAUGAUGUGCUCCUCUAGGCAUAAUUUUUGUCAAUGCCCAUGGUGUCAUCCAAGGGUAGAGUUGAAGUUUGCAUCAGUACAUGAUGAUAAAAACUGAGAAUGGUAACUUGCUGACCAGA